CACUCCGGUCCUUUUGACUCUGUUAAAUGGCUAGUCCAAGGUAAAGGAAAUUCAAAAAAAAAGCAGAGAAGAUCAAAGAAAUGGAACCUAGAGAGAGAAGAAAAGCUUAGCGAGGAGAUCAGGAAUGAGGCGGAGAUCGACGGCAUUCCAAAGGUAAGACGACGACGAGAUUCCUCUGAGAAUCGGGUACAAGAACGUAUUGUCGCCGCAGUUAACGGAAGAGUCCCUGAGGACGAAUAAAUUGAAAAGGCUCUUUCUCACCUGCAGCAAAGGAGGUGGUGACCAAGUGAAGACCUUUAUGGCCUUACUACCAUGGUAUCUCUGGAAUAGAUUUUGCUUUCCUCUCUAGGAGGCUUUAGGUAAUGCAACGACCUCAGUCAGGGACU
rnacentral:lncRNA from 1 species